GGCAUUCGCACUGCGUGGUGGACUGCCCGAGCCAAUACGGCGGCAUGGAGAGGAAGUCCGGUGCGAAUCCGGCGCGGUCCCGCCACUGUCACCGGGGAGCACCCGCCGCGCGGGUGCCCCGGGAGCCAGGAACUCUCGCCGCCGGACACGUCGAA
rnacentral:ncRNA from 2 species